rnacentral:lncRNA from 1 species
CCUGCUUUAUUUUCAUUAGUUAUUUAAAUCGAAUUAAUUAUAAUUAAUCUUAUAAAUGUAAUUGUAGUUAAAAUUGCGUAAAAGAGCAAUCUCCUCCAUCGUCUGUUUGCAUCCGGCGCCAUCUUGUUUUUUUCUGAUCAAGGCUUCGUGAUGAUAAUAAUAAUAAUAAUAAUAAUAAUAAUAAUAACUGCUUUUAUGCUAAUUUAUUGUAUAAAAUAUGUUAUAAUUUAAUAAAUUUCAGGUUUAUUGAAUAGAUUUUUAUGCCUUUAAAAGUUGCUAUUUUAUAAUAAGAGAGAGUAAUAGUGAUGUGUAGUAUAUACGGGCGCCAUUUUGUUUUCUGAGAAUAAUAACUGCUUUUAUUCUAUUUUCAGGUUAUUUAUGGGGUAAAACACGUUGUAAUUUAAUAAAUUAAAGGUUUCUCGAAUAUAUUUUAUGCUUUAAAAGUUGCUAUUUUAUAAUAACAGGCUCAGGAAGAGAGUUGAACUCUAUAUAACGAAUUGAUGUGAGAAAAGAGACUUAAAAUAAUGCUUCUGCUAUAUACACGAGGUUUACUACGCUUUAUUAAUGGGGUGUGCGGAUCGAUAAUAGAAGAAGAUGUACCCACGAUGAGAGAGAGAGAGAGGAUGUAGGCACACAGAAAGGGAGAGAAAAACAGGAGGAGUAUCAAUCUUAUCAUCCAGGAAAUUGGCUCUAAUGAAACAAGAUAAGAGACAUUACCCGAAAUACUGAAAUAUCAUGAAACAAGAUAAAUUCCAUAACAUCAAGGAACAUCAUAAAUUUAACGUUGACGUAUAAGUUGAGUGAUUUUGACAACUCACGUUUUUAUGAUCAGCGUCUAAACUGUCCCACAUGGACGCGACAAUUUUGGACACUUCACCAAAACUGGCGUUUGGAUUCUGUCCUUUGAUAGCUGCUUGAGUAUCCCGGAAGAAAAGUGCAUAGGCAGACACUGGUCUGUUACAAAGGAAAAAAAUAUAUAUAUAAUACAAUGGAAAUAUGCUUUUUAUCUUGAUGUUACGAGUCUAAUCGUGUUUACAAACAGAAAAUUCAUGUUCCAGUACAACUGUAAGUACUGUACUUUAAUCUUUGCUGCUUAAGAAGUUAUCAGAUUGCUUAUAAAAAUGCCAUUUUUUAAAAAUUAGUUUUAGUGUGGUUAAUCACUAAAAUAUGCAGUUGUAUGCAACAACUGUAUGCCUUUAAUGAUUAGAAACAAACCUAAUACACUAUUUUAAGUUACAGAUGAGAGAAAAUUCAUCUGGGAUCAUGCUCAUGACAAGAAAUUGAGAUUUAAUUACAGAAAAUUCAAGUGUUAUCCCACUUGUACGUACUAAAAUGCAGCAUUUUUAAAGCCUACUAUAGUUAAGAAGAAAAACAUACAAUUCAAUAUAUAAAUCCAAUCAUAUUUAUAGCAAGAGGAUAGUUAAUGUCCAACUAGACUGAAGAGGAUCCAAGUGAAAACAUAAAUCUCUUAUUACUAAACAAAAAUAUAGAAUUUUACGUUUUAUAAUAGUCGAAACGGUAGGAGAAACUCUCCGGAAGAUGGAAAAGUGAAACACAUAUAUAAAGAAAUUUAUGGCAGGGCCAUAAAUAAAGCAGACAUAUCAUUAUAUAUUAAAAUAUAAGUGAAGAAAAAUGAGAUAUUUUAUUUCGAGAAGUGACCCUUUCAUUUUUAUAGUGGAGAGAGCUUACGGAAUAGGUUUUUGACAUCUAAAUCCAAUCAUGUUGUUUUUUCAAAGUUAUUUUGUAGUCUGUAAUAAAAUGGAGUAAUAAGCCAAUACUUUGUGAAUGUAGUCCUCUCUCAAGGGGUUCUUCCUAUCUGCAUUUCCAAGACGGUUAUUUAAAUAUCACGAGAUUCUAAAAAUCUUUUGGUUUUUUCC